UGCUUUUGCACUCUCUAUGAUUUUUAUGGAUCGGGGGGUUUGGUACUCCGACUAUGGAUAGCAUAGAAAGUGAAAACGUACACGUUGAAAAAGUACAAGUUCAAUUUUGUCCGGAAUCUGUGGGUCCGCAAUGGGGAAAUCAUUGUAAAACUUGACAGGUUGGGUCGUCACGAAAACAGAUUCGAUACAAAAAUGUAUGGAAUCUGUGGUUACCUUCGCAACAUUUGGUGUUGGUGAUCGAGUUACCGGACACAGAUUCCGUACAUACAUACUUUCAGCAUCUAGGCCGAGUCCAGUGCAUGUAUGAGUCCAUAGAAGGACUUAGGCAUGCUUGGGCUCGGCCAUUGCUCGUUAAGGUAUAUUGUGACUCCAGGUUAUAGGGACACAUUUUGGACAUAUAA
rnacentral:misc_RNA from 1 species